AUGAGCUUCGGCGGCAUGUUCGACGGCGCCGGCUCCGGCGUCUUCUCCUACGACGCCGGCGGGGGCGGCCCCGGCAUGCACAACCCCGGCCGCCUCCUCGCCCCGCCGCCCAUCCCCAGGCCCGCCGCCGGCGCAGGCGGCGGUGGCUUUGCCUCCUCCACCGGCCUCUCCCUCGGCCUGACGAACAUGGAGGGCGGAGGUCAGCUGGGCGGCGCUUUCAUGGGGAGCACGGGGAGCGGCGGCGACGGCGACUCGCUGGGCCGCGCGCGGGAGGACGAGAACGACAGCCGCUCCGGCAGCGACAACCUGGACGGCGCCUCAGCCGACGAGCUCGACCCGGACAACAGCAACCCGCGCAAGAAGAAGAAGCGCUACCACCGCCACACGCCGCAGCAAAUCCAAGAGCUCGAAGCCGUGUUCAAGGAGUGCCCGCACCCCGACGAGAAGCAGCGGAUGGAGCUCAGCCGGCGGCUCAACCUGGAGAGCCGCCAGGUCAAGUUCUGGUUCCAGAAUCGCCGCACCCAGAUGAAGACGCAGAUCGAGCGGCACGAGAACGCGCUGCUGCGGCAGGAGAACGACAAGCUGCGGACGGAGAACAUGACGAUCCGGGAGGCGAUGCGGAGCCCCACCUGCGGCAACUGCGGCGGCGCGGCCGUGCUCGGGGAGGUGUCGCUGGAGGAGCAGCACCUGCGCAUCGAGAACUCGCGCCUCAAGGACGAGCUGGACCGCGUCUGCGCGCUCGCCGGCAAGUUCCUCGGCCGCCCCGUCUCCGCCAUCUCCUCGCCGCUCAGCCUGCCGUCGUCCCUCUGCUCCGGCCUCGACCUCGCCGUCGGCAGCAACAACGGCUUCAUGGGAAUGGGAAUGCAGUCCAUCCCCGACCUCAUGGGCGGCGGCUCGGCGGCCAUGCGCCUGCCCACAGGCAUCAUGGGCGGCGGCCUCGAUGACGGCCUCGGCGGCGAAGGCGUCGCCAUCGACCGCGGCGCGCUGCUGGAGCUCGGGCUGGCGGCAAUGGAGGAGCUGGUGAAGGUGACGCAGGUGGACGACCCGCUGUGGCAGCCCAGCCUGGAUAUUGGGCUGGAGACGCUCAACUUCGACGAGUACCGGCGCGCGUUCGCCCGCGUGCUCGGCCCCAGCCCCGCCGGCUACGUCUCCGAGGCCACCCGCGAGGUCGGCAUUGCCAUCAUCAACAGCGUCGACCUCGUCAACAGCCUCAUGAACGAGGCUCGGUGGUCGGAGAUGUUCCCGUGCGUGGUGGCGAGGGCGAGCACGAUGGAGAUCAUCUCGAGCGGCAUGGGCGGCACCCGCAGCGGCUCAAUCCAACUGAUGCGCGCGGAGCUGCAGGUGCUGUCGCCGCUGGUGCCGAUCAGGGAGGUGACGUUCCUACGCUUCUGCAAGCAGCACGCCGACGGGCUGUGGGCCAUCGUGGACGUGUCGGUGGACGGCGUCCUCCGCCCCGACUCCGGCACCGGCGCCGGCCCGGCAGGGUACAUGGGCUGCCGCCUCCUCCCCUCCGGCUGCAUCGUCGAGGACAUGCAGAACGGCUACGCCAAGGUCACGUGGGUGGUUCACGCCGAGUACGACGAGGCGGCGGUGCACGAGCUGUACCGCCCGCUGCUCCGCUCCGGCCAGGCGCUGGGCGCGCGCCGCUGGCUCGCCUCGCUGCAGCGCCAGUGCGAGUACCACGCCAUCCUCUGCUCCAACCCGCACCCCAACCACGGCGACCGCCACGAGCCCAUCUCGCCGGCGGGGCGCCGCUGCAUGCUCAGGCUGGCGCAGCGGAUGGCUGACAACUUCUGCGCCGGGGUCUGCGCCACGGCCGCCCAGAAGUGGCGCCGCCUCGACGAGUGGCGCGUCGAGGGCGCCGGCGGACGGGACCCGGCCGGCGGGGAGGACAAGGUGCGCAUGAUGGCCAGGCAGAGCGUGGGCGCGCCCGGCGAGCCCCCCGGCGUCGUGCUCAGCGCCACCACCUCCGUGCGGCUCCCCGGCACGCCGCCGCAGCGUGUAUUUGACUACCUCCGCGACGAACAGCGCCGCGGUGAGUGGGACAUCCUCGCCAACGGCGAGGCCAUGCAGGAGAUGGACCACAUCGCCAAGGGCCAGCACCACGGCAACGCCGUCUCCCUCCUCCGUCCUAACGCGACGAGCGGGAACCAGAACAACAUGCUCAUCCUGCAGGAGACGUGCACCGACGCGUCCGGCUCGCUGGUGGUGUACGCGCCGGUGGACGUGCAGUCCAUGCACGUCGUCAUGGGCGGCGGCGACUCGGCCUACGUCUCCCUGCUGCCCUCCGGCUUCGCCAUCCUCCCCGACGGCCACACUGCGCCGGCCGCCGCUACUGACCCUUCUCCCCAGGGCUCGUCGCCCAACGCUCAUGGCGGCAGCAGCAACAACAGCCCCGGCUCGCUCGUCACCGUGGCGUUCCAGAUACUGGUGAACAACCUGCCGACGGCGAAGCUCACCGUGGAGUCGGUCGACACCGUCAGCAACCUGCUCUCCUGCACCAUCCAGAAGAUCAAGUCCGCCCUGCAGGCCAGCAUCAUCUCGCCCUAG
rnacentral:rRNA from 1 species